rnacentral:rRNA from 1 species
AGAGUUUGAUCAUGGCUCAGGAUAAACGCUGGCGGCAUGCCUAAUACAUGCAAGUCGAACGAACAUAGUAAUAUGUUAGUGGCGAACGGGUGAGUAACACGUAAGUAACCAACCUUCAAGACGAGGAUAACCACUGGAAACGGUAGCUAAAACUGGAUAGGAUAUUUUAUCAUAAGAUGGGAUAUUUAAAAGCGCUGUAAGGCGCUACUUGAAGCUGGGCUUGCGGCGCAUUAGAUAGUUGGUGAGGUAACGGCCCACCAAGUCAACGAUGCGUAGCAGCGCUGAGAGGCGGAACUGCCACACUGGGACUGAGACACGGCCCAGACUCCUACGGGAGGCAGCAGUAGGGAAUUUUCGGCAAUGGGGGGAACCCUGACCGAGCAAUGCCGCGUGAAUGAAGAAGGUCUUCGGAUUGUAAAAUUCUGUUAUUGGGAAAGAAUAUCAUAAUCAGGAAAUGGGUUAUGAAUGACGGUACCCGAUUAGAAAGCCCCGGCUAACUACGUGCCAGCAGCCGCGGUAAUACGUAGGGGGCGAGCGUUAUCCGGAUUUAUUGGGCGUAAAGCGUGUGUAGGCGGUUUAUUAAGUCAGGCGUAAAAGAUCACAGCUCAAC